GGAAGGUCCGGUUGCCUAUUCCCUGCUAUAGGCAGGAUUAACCCAUCUUUCCAGGAGCCCCACCUGGAGGAAGAACACACAGCCUGCCAGGGGCUGUGCCCCUUCUCCACCGAGCUCACCAGUACCCUCAGGCAGGCAGAUAAUUCCGUGGCCCUGCACCCAGCGGUAGCAGGGGAAAAAGGCCUCGCCUUGGGUCCCCGGGCCCUGCACUGAGAUCCACUUGCAGAACCAGUCGAGACUCAACAGCACGUUGUGUUUGCGCAGCUUCACCAUCAGGAGGCGCCCCAGGUGCAGGGGGACGUCGAUCUCAAACUCUGCCUCCUGCGCGACAGUACACAGCUCAGGUUUUGGGGUCUUCAGGGAGGACGGCGGGGUCGGUGAACCUUCAGAGAAUCCUGGCUCCGUUUCCCCUCCACAGCACAGCCGGGGAGAGGUGGAGGUGAGGAGGAGCAGCUGGUACUGCGGGGCGCCAGCCUCCCCCCGGGCCUGCCGUGCCCACCCCAGCGGGCGUCUCUGUCCUUCCGCUCGGGCAGGAAAAUGCCUCUCAUCUCUCCUGUUCCUCUCGCUUUUCCUAUCAGGCGCACCAAGUGCACCCGACCUCAGCCCCUACCCCGCUUCCCAGGUUUCUCAUGGGUGGGGCAGCAGCACCCUCCGAAUGGCCCCGGCCCCCAGUGACACCUCUGAGUCCCAGGGCCCCAGCUCUCACCGCAGUCCGCGCUCACCUUUCCCCACACCGGUGGCAGCUGCUUCCCUAGGUCUGCCUCCCCGUGCUCGCCCACCAGCCAUAGCUGCACCAGGUUGGGAGAGCCCGCCAGGAGCAAAUCCCCGGUGGCUACGCGGACCGUGUACUUGCCCAUCUUGCCCGGAGAUCCGGGGAGAAAUCAGCUUUAAAAGGAUCUGAGACCCAGCUCCCAGGGAACCACGCCCAGCCCAGAGUGGCUGUUGUAUUUGGGUUUCAGGCUCCCCACCUCCCACCCACAGAUUCCUCCCCGACUAGGAGGAACGCUGGGACUGGCGCCAGGCUAGGGUCUCUGUAUCCAGAGUUUCUCCCGGCGGCUCUGGAAAGGGCAGCCUCACCCUUAUUCACUUGGCAAACACUCCCUGAUGCCAGUUUCACACCCUGCCAUGAGCCAAACACAGCAGCCUACGGACGAUGACAGCUAAACACUAGCUCCCACCCAAUUUUGGUGAAUACAUAAAUAAGAUUGCCACGGAAGUGAAAUGGCUUGAUCAUAGGGGUAUUUUUCAAUGGAAAGUUGACACUCCCCAGACACUCCUGCUCACCCACGGCUCGCCUCUCUCCUGGACCUCCUGGGCUAUCGUGAACAGAAGGGCUUGAACAGCCCUUCCACCUCCUCAUGUUGAAAGAGAAAUAAAGGGCCAUUGUGUUUUCAUUGAA